GGGUUGUGAGGUUAAGCGACUAAGCGUACACGGUGGAUGCCCUGGCAGUCAGAGGCGAUGAAGGACGUGCUAAUCUGCGAUAAGCGCCGGUAAGGUGAUAUGAACCGUUAUAACCGGCGAUUUCCGAAUGGGGAAACCCAGUGUGACUCGUCACACUAUCAUUAACUGAAUCCAUAGGUUAAUGAGGCGAACCGGGGGAACUGAAACAUCUAAGUACCCCGAGGAAAAGAAAUCAACCGAGAUUCCCCCAGUAGCGGCGAGCGAACGGGGAGGAGCCCAGAGCCUGAAUCAGCAUGUGUGUUAGUGGAAGCGUCUGGAAAGGCGCGCGAUACAGGGUGACAGCCCCGUACACAAAAGCGCAUGUGCUGUGAGCUCGAUGAGUAGGGCGGGACACGUGGUAUCCUGUCUGAAUAUGGGGGGACCAUCCUCCAAGGCUAAAUACUCCUGACUGACCGAUAGUGAACCAGUACCGUGAGGGAAAGGCGAAAAGAACCCCGGCGAGGGGAGUGAAAAAGAACCUGAAACCGUGUACGUACAAGCAGUGGGAGCACCCUUCGGGGUGUGACUGCGUACCUUUUGUAUAAUGGGUCAGCGACUUAUAUUCUGUAGCAAGGUUAACCGUAUAGGGGAGCCGUAGGGAAACCGAGUCUUAACCGGGCGUUAAGUUGCAGGGUAUAGACCCGAAACCCGGUGAUCUAGCCAUGGGCAGGUUGAAGGUUGGGUAACACUAACUGGAGGACCGAACCGACUAAUGUUGAAAAAUUAGCGGAUGACCUGUGGCUGGGGGUGAAAGGCCAAUCAAACCGGGAGAUAGCUGGUUCUCCCCGAAAGCUAUUUAGGUAGCGCCUCGUGAAUUCAUCUCCGGGGGUAGAGCACUGUUUCGGCUAGGGGGCCAUCCCGGCUUACCAACCCGAUGCAAACUGCGAAUACCGGAGAAUGUUAUCACGGGAGACACACGGCGGGUGCUAACGUCCGUCGUGAAGAGGGAAACAACCCAGACCGCCAGCUAAGGUCCCAAAGUCAUAGUUAAGUGGGAAACGAUGUGGGAAGGCCCAGACAGCCAGGAUGUUGGCUUAGAAGCAGCCAUCAUUUAAAGAAAGCGUAAUAGCUCACUGGUCGAGUCGGCCUGCGCGGAAGAUGUAACGGGGCUAAACUAUGCACCGAAGCUGCGGCAGCGACACUAUGUGUUGUUGGGUAGGGGAGCGUUCUGUAAGCCUGUGAAGGUGUGUCGUGAGGCAUGCUGGAGGUAUCAGAAGUGCGAAUGCUGACAUAAGUAACGAUAAAGCGGGUGAAAAGCCCGCUCGCCGGAAGACCAAGGGUUCCUGUCCAACGUUAAUCGGGGCAGGGUGAGUCGACCCCUAAGGCGAGGCCGAAAGGCGUAGUCGAUGGGAAACGGGUUAAUAUUCCCGUACUUGGUGUUACUGCGAAGGGGGGACGGAGAAGGCUAUGUUGGCCGGGCGACGGUUGUCCCGGUUUAAGCGUGUAGGUGUGUGUUCCAGGUAAAUCCGGUUCACUUUAACACUGAGGCGUGA
rnacentral:rRNA from 1 species